rnacentral:tRNA from 1 species
GGGGAUAUAGAUCAGUUGGUAGAAUGCUUGCCUAGCUAGCAUGCACAAGGCCCUGGGUUCAAUCCCCAGCACCACCA